AUUGAACGCUGGCGGCAGGCCUAACACAUGCACGUCGAGCGAGCGGCGGACGGGUGAGUAAUGUCUGGGAAACUGCCUGAUCGAGGGGGAUAACUACUGGACCCGGUAGCUAAUACCGCAUACUAUCCGAUGAGCCCAUAUGGGAUUAGCUAGUGGGUGGGGUAACGUCUCACCUAGUCGACGAUCCCUAGCUGGUCUGAGAGGAUGCUCAGCCACACUGGAACGGAGACACGGUCCAGACUCCGACGGGAGGCAGCAGUGGGGAAUAUUGCACAAUGGGAGAAAGCCUGAUGCAGCCAUGCCGCGUGUAUGAAGAAGGCCUUAGGGUUGUAAAGUACUUUCAGCGUGGAGGCGUUACCCGCAGAAGAAGCACCGGCUAACUCCGUGCCAGCAGCCGCGGUAAUAC
rnacentral:rRNA from 1 species